GACGUAGGGCGCGAGCGUUGUCCGGAAUUAUUGGGCGUAAAGAGCUCGUAGGCGGUCUGUCGCGUCUGCUGUGAAAACUCAGGGCUUAACCCUGAGCUUGCAGUGGGUACGGGCAGACUAGAGUGCGGUAGGGGAGACUGGAAUUCCUGGUGUAGCGGUGAAAUGCGCAGAUAUCAGGAGGAACACCGGUGGCGAAGGCGGGUCUC
rnacentral:rRNA from 1 species